AUUUAAGUAGCUUAAAUUAGAGCAUGAUAUUGAAGAUAUCAAGGUGAUAUUAAUUAUCUUUAAGU
rnacentral:tRNA from 1 species